GAUGAACGCUAGCGGCAGGCUUAAUACAUGCAAGUCAAGGGGGUAGCAAUACAACCGGCGCACGGGUGAGUAACGCGUACACAACAUACCAUAUACUGGAGUAUAGCUUUGGGAAACUGAAGGUAAUCCUCCAUAACAUUGCGAGAGGGCAUCUGAUUGCAAUUAAAGUUUCGGCGGUAUAUGAUUGGUGUGCGUUUGAUUAGCUAGUUGGUAGGGUAACGGCCUACCAAGGCGACGAUCAAUAGCUGGCGUGAGAGCGCGACCAGCCACACUGGAACUGAGACACGGUCCAGACUCCUACGGGAGGCAGCAGUAGGGAAUAUUGGACAAUGGAGGAAACUCUGAUCCAGCCAUGCCGCGUGAUAGAUGAAGGCCCUCUGGGUUGUAAAUAUCUUUUAUCUGGGAAGAAACACUCCUAUUCUUAGGAACUUGACGGUACCAGAGGAUAAGCACCGGCUAACUCCGUGCCAGCAGCCGCGGUAAUGUAG
rnacentral:rRNA from 1 species